GAUGAAGAACGUAGUGAAAUGCGAUAAGUAAUGUGAAUUGCAGAAUUCAGUGAAUCAUCGAAUCUUUGAACGCACAUUGCGCCCCCCAGUAUUCUGGCGGGCAUGCCUGUUCGAGCGUCAUUUCAACCAUCAAGCCCUGCUUGUGUUGGGGUCCUGCGGCUGCCCGCAGGCCCUGAAAACCAGUGGCGGGCUCGCUAGUCACACCGAGCGCAGUAGCACAUCUCGCUCAGGGCGUGCGGCGGGCUCCAGCCGUUAAAGCACCCACCUUUCGCAAGGUUGACCUCGGAUCAGGUAGGAAUACCCGCUGAACUUAAGCAUAUCAAUAAGCGGAAGA
rnacentral:misc_RNA from 1 species